UACGAGGGGUGCAAGCGUUGCUCGGAAUUAUUGGGCGUAAAGGGUAGGUAGGUGGUCUCAUUUGUCUGGGGUGAAAGCCUUGAGCUUAACUCAAGAAGUGCCCCGGAAACGGUGAGACUGGAGUCCUGGAGAGGGUCGUGGAAUUCCCGGUGUAGCGGUGAAAUGCGUAGAGAUCGGGAGGAACACCAGAGGCGAGGGCGGCGACCUGGACAGGCACUGACACUCAACUACGAAAGCGUGGGGAGCAAACAGG
rnacentral:rRNA from 1 species